CGUUUAGGCGGGUGAUUAAGUUCGCUAUGAAAGCGCCAGGCUAAACCUGGCGAGGCUGGCGGAUACUGGUCAUCUGGAGUGAGGAAGAGGAAGGUAGAAUUCCGCGUGUAGUGGUGAAAUGCGUAGAGAUGCGGAGGAAUACCAGUGGCGAAGGCGGCCUUCUGGUCCUUAACUGACGCUGAAGCGCGAAAGCAUGGGGAGCGAACG
rnacentral:rRNA from 1 species